rnacentral:sRNA from 1 species
GCAUCCAUCUUCUGUUCUAACGCCUGAUGGUGGGGACGUCCUAUUCACAGGUAUGCACGCUGCACACAUCCAUCUUCUGUUCUAACGCCUGAUGGUGGGGACGUCCUAUUCACAGGUAUGCACACAUCCAUCUUCUGUUCUAACGCCUGAUGGUGGGGACGUCCUAUUCACAGUUUCACCAGUGUAGUCCAAAUACAGCCAUUGGACCUGGAGGACUAGAGAAAGCAGCCUCAUGUGACCUACAAGCACCAAGCUUCUUGGGAGUUUAAUGAAUAGUCCUGGUGAAAGAGGACAGAGAGGAGGAAGAGGUGGCCUUAAUCUGUGACACUUCAGUGCCUUCUUGCUUGGUGUCCUGUAGCUGUGGCUGGAGCCCUUGUGUCGCCCAUCUCUGAAAGUCAAUGUUCAAACCAUGGCUCUUGUGAACAGCAUCCAGUGGUGCUGGUGCUGUCUGACACAGGGUAGGGCCCUGCUCUGGAUUUGGGUUACAGUACUGUGAACCCUCAAAACACAGAGUGAUGGCAUCAAGGGAACCGACCAUAGCUCUAGUUGUGCCUAAGCCAUUCUCUCAGUCUCCCAAGGAGGAGCCCCUCCGAACAGUCUUCGUGCCUCCCCAGGGUAGAACUUCCACUCUCUGACAGACCAGAGCAGCAGCCUAUUUUCUCUUAGAAAAUGGGUUUCCGUGAGAACUAGAUGUGUAAGGCACACUUCCUUACAAGGCAGUACUUUUUUUAUUUUACCAGAACAUGUCUGCAGUAAUAUAACUUACGGGGAUCAGGUUUAAAUGUCCUUCAAAACACUGUUCAAUCAAGGUGGUCUGUUUACAGCGAGUUAAUAUUAGAUCCGAACAGCUCACCCGCACUAAUCCUGACAGACUCUCAUCAUACAUCAGUACUUCCUUUGACCACAGAUCUUCCCACAGCAUGCCAAGCCCGAUGUCUUUGCCUCACUGCACAUGGAGUCUAAGCCCUAAUUUUGUCUGAAUCUUUCUUUACUCAUUCAGUAAGUUCCUAUCUUGAGACUUACCCUAUUAAAAGCUGAGAUGAGGGCCUGGGGAGAUGAGUCGGUGAGUGAAGCAUUUGCCUCUCAAGGUUGAGGAUCUGAGCUCUACUCCCCAGGGCCCACAUAAAGCCAGAAACAGAACCACAUGUCUGAAGUCCCAGUGUGUCUACAGUGAGAAAUGGAGACAGAAUUCCCAGAAGCGGGGGGCUGGCCAGCCUGGCUUGCACAGUGAUGACCAAGGGACCCUGACUUAUGCAAGGUAGAUAGAGAGUUCAAGGUUGCCCUCUGAUUUCUACACUUGAACCCCCAUUGUCUCCCUCAUCGCUCCUUCCACCUCUCCUUUGAGAAACCAUAACAUUUACCAUUUUUUUUAACAUUUUUAAGUGUAAAAAUCCAUGAACCAUAAGUUACAUUUCCAAUAUGUGCAAGUUAGCCCCUGGGAUUUUAGAUCAGGCAGCGCGGGGUAAGUUAAACAAUCCAGAGAAGCACUUCCCGCGUGCUCUCUGCCUCCUCCUUCCCAAGAGGCAAAGCAUCUUUAGCGAUCUAUCAGGAAAUGGAGAGAAGGAGGGCUGCUUUCCAGUUCCACUUCCUGCUGGGAAAUCUGUCCGCCCCGCCAGCAGCUACUGGCGAAGACUUGUCUCCAUCUCAUUUCCCUGGAACAGAUAACACCCACUUACCCUUUUAUCGAUUUACUUAUUUUGUGAAAUACAGACUUAUAUAACUGGGUUAUAAAUGUGUACAUGCUGUUUAAAGACCAGUAAGAAAGUAAGCAUGUCCACCCCUGGCUUAUAACACAGAAAACUGACAGGACCCCAGAAACCCCAUGUGGUCCCCAGCCCUUCCCACUUCAGCCUCGGGAAGCCAGUCUCUCCUGUCCUGUCGACCCUUGCCUGGUCUCCCUUUGGAGUUUGUCUCAGUAUCUGUAUUUCAUGUUUCUCUCCUUCUAAGUUCCUAGUGCUGUGGUGACCACUGCACGAAUCCUUGUGUGAUUUUUCUACUUCUGACAUGAGUUGGUAGACAGAGCUGGAGGGUUUUUACUUUGACGAGUAUUCUGUGAAGAAGAAUGCAGUACCAAGUAUUUAUGUAUUUAUUUUAUUGAGGGUGUACAGUGCGAUGCUUCUUGGAUUUUGUCUGCCACAGCCUUCAAGGACUGUUCUGCCUGUUCCUGUGUGCGCCCUGUGGGCUCAUGUAUAGGAGAUGUUCUCUAAGGCUCACACGUGAACCCUGGGUUCUAGGGUAGACUCUUCUGCUGUUUCAGUAUGAUGGUCAUCUGACUUUCCUUCAUUCCAGCCUUCUGAUACUUGAUCGCUCUUGCGUAUCAGGUAUAAAACCAACCCACCACUACUCAGUUCUAUACACUGUGCCUAACUUAGUUUGCUAAUAUGUUUAAAGCUUUUUCUUUCUUUUUGUCUUCGCCUCCAUUUUCAAAGUGUUAGCUGUAAAAUCAUUCUUCCUGUCUCUUCAAACUUCGUAGCAACUGUAGCUAGACGCCCUUUCAUUUGUGAUGCUCGAGCGAGCUGACCUCCCUCAGUUCCCUCCCCCUCAGGAAGUUUGUCAAUUUUAUUAAUCUUUUCAAAAGAUCAAAUAUUGGCUUUUGUGAACCCUUUCUCUUUAUCUUUCUUUGUCUCCCUCUUUUAAACGUCUUUAUUUAUACUCCGCCCCUUUUCCCUACACAAUGAAUUGGCACCAACUUUGAAAUGGACACUUCUCUAAAGUAUCUAUUUCCCUCCAAAUACUUCAAUAAAAUCUUUCUUCCUUCUCCCUUUCUUUUUUCCUUUCUUUUUUUUCUGUUUGUUUGUUCAUUCGUUUGUUUAUGACAAGGUCUCUUGUAGCCCAGGCUAGGUUCCAAUUCACUGUAUAAUUGAGGACAAGCAUAAGCUCCCAAUCCUCCUGCCUCUACCUCCCAGUACUGAGUUACAGGUUUGCUCCUCCAUACCCAGGGAGAACCCCUUGUUGACGUGAGUAGUUCUUACAUCCUUAAGUUCUAAAUGUUUUCUAAAUUUAUGUUUUGAUUUCAUCAUUGACUCACUGAUAGAUAACCGUGGAUUUAAUUUUAAUGUGGUCAUUCUUGUAAGUUCGGAGACUGCCAGCCCCCUCUGUAGUAAUGAAGCAUUUACCCUAUAUUUCCUCUAUGAAUCAUAUUUCAAGUAGAUCAGUGUUUUCUUCUUAGAAUUCUAAAUGGAAACGCAGAUUCCUAAUAAAAUAGUGUAUCUGUAGCCAAGCAUCACUGGAGACCAAAACCACUGUGUGGAAGCUUACUGGGAAAACACAAUGGGGGAAUUGGACUAGCGUCACCGAACACAUUUGAUCAUUCUAGUCCCACUGAAAUGUUGGUGACAUUGGUGACAUUGGUGACAUUGGUGACAUUGGUGACAUGCUUGUGUAAAGCAAUGGACUUACAGACCCCACUGGAAAAAGAAAAGUUAUCGAACCACUUCCAGGAGACUGUUGAUUCACUGAAAAUACACAGAGUGGAGGCACAUCAUAAAUGCCGAAUGACAUUAGAAAGCCAUCAGCCAAACCCGGGACAUAGAUUAUUGAUCUGAUGAAAAGCCUGUUGUCUCUCACAAAUAAUUAGGAAAGUAAAGGAAAUCUGAUUAUUAGGGUUUUAUAUUUCUUACAUUUUGUUAUUUUCUUUAAUUUUUCAUACAGCAUUUUUGGUCACAUCCUUUCCCGCCCCCAGGUCCUCCCAGAAUUAUUUAAUUAUUGACUAUUUCAUGUGUGGGGGUGUUGGUCUGCAUGUCUGCCUGUGUACCACAUGCUUGCCUGGUGCCUGUAGGGGGAAACCUGGAGAGGACACUGGAUUCCCUGGAACCAUAUUGUUGGGAUUUCAUGAAUCAUGUCUAGAUUUUCCUGUCAUAGAAAAUCGCUCCCAACUGACCCCAUCUUCACCAUUCUUCUGGCUCCUAAAAUCUUCCUGCCCCAUCUUCAAGACGUUCCCUGAGACAUAGGUAUAAGGGUUGUGUUGAAUAUUCGCAGCCAUGUUAAGGGUACAGUAAAGAGGCAAUGAGUCCUCUCCUACAUCUGGGGAGCCACCAUCCUGCAUCACCAGACAUUGGUCAUCUUCCCGAGCUGAAACUCCAUCACUGUUCACCAACCACUCUACCCAUUCACACCUUCUCCCAGCUCCUAACAGCUGCCAUGAUAAUUUCCAUCUCUGGAUUUGAAAGGAUUAUGUAAGAGCAGUCUUUUGAACCCGUUUUUGGAAUGGAAAUAGGAGUCUCUUUGGAACUUUCCCAACGGAGAAGAGAACCGUGUGAUACUUGAAGACUAUUAUUUGUACAUAAAGAAACAGUGUACAGUCCCCAGGGCUACAGACUCACUAUGCUCCAUCACAUCUA